UGGUGGAGUGAUUUGUCUGGUUAAUUCCGUUAACGAACGAGACCUUAGCUUGCUAAAUAGUUACGCAUAACUUCCGUUAUGCGGGCAACUUCUUAGAGGGACUUUGCGUGUCUAACGCAGGGAAGUUUGAGGCAAUAACA
rnacentral:rRNA from 1 species